CUUUCCCAGCAGCACUGUGCGUUCGUCAAACAGCCGUGUGAGCCCCUGGGUGAUGGACAGGCCAGCCUUGAAGACUGCAGGUUCAGUUCCAACACAACUCGAAUAUCACAAAAAAGAGUUGUACAAAUGUUCUGGUUUCCCAGUGCAUGUGAAAGCUUAUGUUGACACUCUACUGUAGGUCUUCACCUCUGAAAAAGUGCCUGGACCUCAGCAUGAAUGUGUUCUUAGGAGACAAUAAACAGCUGAAGAAUCCUUCCCAUCAGUGGACCUGAAGGAUGCUGCGAUGGAGCAUUCAAGAUGGAAAAGCCAGGAUGCCAAACCUGUCUCUUUCCCUCCCAGAUCCCAAAGCACUCUAUCCCAAAGCACUGGCCUCAGAAUAUAUCUUAACAUGUGACCCCAAUCCACGCAGUGGCUACAUUCGAUGAAACUUUGACCAUCUCUGGUAGACAGUUAAUCCAGUAACUAGCAAAUGAUCUUGUCUGGAGGAUUCCAUAGACAGAUGAGCCUGGCAGGCUAUAGUCCAAGGGGUGGCAAAGAGUCGGACAUGACUGAGGACUACAAUAACCAAACACACAUGUAUUAUAAGAACUCAACGCGGCUACACAUAUGUAAGCAUCGUGCAAACUGGGGGGCUGAAUGGAGUCCCCAUGAAAGUCCCCAGAUAAUUGUGAAGUGCCAGCCACACAGUAGAUGUUAUUACAGUUGGUGGAAGGGGACUGAGGUUGAGGCAAUGAUGGUCACAAUUACCUUUUCAGGUACGAUGUACUUGACUCUUCUCAAUCCUGAGAACCCUGCCUGGUGGGUGCUAUUCCUAUCUACUUCAUGCACAUCAUGAACCAUGGCUCAGAGCACAGAAGACCAAGCUGGCUCAGAACAAGUGGCAGAGGGGGGACCUUCCAUCUAACAGUCUGUUUCAGACCAUCACUAUGUUCCAACCUCUUUAGCCAGGGGUUCCCUAUAUUGGGGGAAAAUAAAAUGCA